AGACCGAUAGCGAACAAGUAGAGUGAUCGAAAGAUGAAAAGUACUUUGGAAAGAGAGUUAAAAAGCACGUGAAAUUGUUGAAAGGGAAGCGCCUGCAACUAGACUUCGCGGUGGUGUUCCGCCGGUCUUUUGACCGGUCCAUUCUCCACCGCGAGGCCAUCAUCGUCUGGGCCCGCCGGAUAAGACCUUGGGAAUGUAGCUCACCUUCGGGGGAGUGUUAUAGCCCAGGGUGAUGCGGCGAGGCUCGGGCGAGGUCCGCGCCUCGGCAAGGAUGAUGGCGUAAUGGUUGUCGGCGGCCCGUCUUGAAACACGGACCAAG
rnacentral:rRNA from 1 species